CGGCUGAAACUGUUGCGUCAAAGUUUGCUUUCACUUCGUCAUGUACUGACCAGCAGUCCAGAUGGAGCAGCUCCAGAACAUCAGAUCUCUGAUUAAAGUCCUGCUGAUUGUUGUCUACUGUAGAGGUUCCUCGGCUGACCCUUCCAGGACGCUCGGUGUGUUGGUGGGUGCAGACGUGACUCUCAGCUGCCUGUUUGAUAAGCUGUCCCGGCUGGUGGAGUGGAGCGCUCUCACCAUCGAGUGGAACAAGGUGGAUCAACAUACCGGGAGGAAGAGCGUGGUGUACACGUUGGAGGACGGCAGAGUGCAUGUGAACAGAGCCGGCUGCGUGGUGGACAGACUGCGGCUGCUGCACAGGGAUGCAUCUCUGCAGCUUCCUAAUGUGACUGUUGGAGAUGAAGGGAUGUACACCUGCAGGAUCAUCACACCUGUGGUCUACACAGAGACCACCGCACUGCAAGUGCUCGCUCGGCCUUCAGUGUCGCUCCCAGAAAAAGCAGCCGUGACGGAGGGCGAGGACAAGAUGAUCCAGUGUGACAUCACGGGUUUCUAUCCAGAGAAACUGGCCGUGACGUGGCACAUCCAAAACAGCUCCCACGCCGUCCACGCAGGCGCCAGCCACCUCUCCCGAGUCUGCACCGAGAUGGCCGUUCACAAUCUAGACGGCACCUUCAGUAUUCGCAGCGGCAUCACGCUCCACUCCUCGGCCGUGAAGGACGGCGAGAUGCUCGUCGUCUGCCAGGUGGAGCACCAGACCUUCGGCGGGCCGUACAACCGAUCGGUUACUCUCACUGUUCAGGCUCCAUCACAGCCUCGUUACAGCGCCGUCACACUGAUGGCGGUCACCAGCGUCACCAGUCUGCUGCUGGUCACCUCCGUCAUCGGAGGAGCUCUGCUGCUCUACAGGUACUUCUGUAAAGCUCCAGUCAGUGUCUCUGAGAUCAGCCAGCCCAGCAUCAUAUACGCCGCGGUGCAGACCGACCUCAGAUGCAGCGUCCGAGGAGCCCGACAGCGGGAGGUCAAAGUGAAAUGGUUUAAAUUAGGAAGCGGUGAAGACUCGGCGGUCCAGUCAGACUCAGUUCCUCUGCUGCUCAGUGAGGAUCUGAGUGAACAGGCCUGUCUCCAUUCAGACGGCAGUCACCACACAUCUGUCCUCCCGGUGUGUCUCACCGUCACCGAGGACAUGACCCGAUACCAGUGUGUGGUGCUCUGUAGGGGGAGGAGCUUCAGCAGGAAGACUACGGUCCAGGUUAAAGUGGAGCCGUCGUUUCUCCAGAUCUCCAGCCUCCCUCAGAUCCCGCGGGUGGAGAGGCUGCUGGUUCUGUGCUGUCGGGUGGAGAACUUCUACCCUCAGCAGGUGGACCUGGAGUGGUUCAGGAACGACGGCGAGCGGGUCAGUACCGUCACACACUUUGGACCUUUCUCCGAGCGCAGCCGGCUCUACAGCGUGUGGAGUAAGAUCCAGCUGGUGAUGGCCAGAGAGGACGAGAGGGCCGUCUACACCUGCCGCGUUUACCACUCCAGCUUCCCUGACCCGGGUUACAGAGACGUCCUGUACCACAUCAACACGCAAGGAACUCCUCCUGAUGUGAUGUUCAUCGACUGUGAGCCUCUGUGUCCUCUGCUGAAUGAAGAGUGUACUCUACACCUGUGCAUCAAACACUUCUGUCCCGAGGACGUGUCGGUGACUUGGACUAAAGACGGAGAGCCGGUUCCCUCCGGCGUCUUCAACACGCCCCCGAGCCUGAACAUCAACGGCCUCUACUCCAUGUUCAGCUUUCUCAAACUCACCCCGGACGAGGAGGACCAGGAAUCCGUGUUCAGGUGCCGGGUGGUGCACAGCGCCCAGAGGGAGCCUGAGGAGAGGCUCUUCACGCUGCCGGCUGCAUCCCACAACCUGCAGCUGACAGACGGCUGCUCACCUCCUCCCUGUAUGCAAACUCUCAUCUCCCACUUUGAUUCAUGAAAGUCGGGAUGCAGCAACAUCUUAUUUUCUCAUUCCAUAAAUUCUUACAAAUGUCCUAAUAAUUUUCUAGGAAGUUUCCUGGACAAUGUUAUUUGGUUCUAAUUAUAGGGAAAACUUUGGAGGAUGGAACCUGCCAAAAUAAAAAAAUAUUAAUAAAUAAAUGACUCAAUAUAUAAAUAAACAUGUCAUUAAAUGUAGCAAAAAUAAUCUUAAAAAUAAAUGUAGCCAUUAAUUAAUACAUUUUUAUACAUUUUUAAAUGUAUGUAUUUAUGGAUUAAUUUAUUUAUUUAUUAAUGCAUUUCCUCAUUUCUGCACUUUUCUUUUUACAUUUCUUUAUGCAUUUCAGCCUCAUUAUGCAGAUGAGGGGCUGUCACUCAACGCGUUUCAUGGGGUCAGAGCAUGGGCCUGAAAUGUCUAAAGAAAAUAAUACAAAAAUAAAUAACUUUGGGGAAAUAAAUAAGGGGUAAUAUGCAAAGGGAAAAGCAUGCAUAAAUAAAUAAAUAAAUUAUUGCAUAAAUACAUACAUUU